rnacentral:rRNA from 1 species
UAGGGAAUCUUCCACAAUGGACGGAAAGUCUGAUGGAGCAACGCCGCGUGAGUGAAGAAGGUUUUCGGAUCGUAAAGCUCUGUUGUUGGUGAAGAAGGAUAGAGGCAGUAACUGGUCUUUAUUUGACGGUAAUCAACCAGAAAGUCACGGCUAACUACGUGCCAG